GUAGGUGGCAAGCGUUGUCCGGAAUUAUUGGGCGUAAAGCGCGCGCAGGCGGUUCUUUAAGUCUGAUGCGAAAGCCCACGGCUCAACCGUGGAGGGUCAUUGGAAACUGGAGAACUUGAGUACAGAAGAGGAAAGCGGAAUUCCACGUGUAGCGGUGAAAUGCGUAGAGAUGUGGAGGAACACCAGUGGCGAAGGCGGCUUUCUGGUCUGUAACUGACGCUGAGGCGCGAAAGCGUGGGGAGCAAACAGGGAUUAGAUACCCUGGUAGUCCACGCCGUAAACGAUGAGUGCUAAGUGUUAGGGGGGUUUCCGCCCCCCUUAGUGCUGCAGCUAACGCAUUAAGCACUCCGCCUGGGGAGUACGGCCGCAAGGCUG
rnacentral:rRNA from 1 species